rnacentral:rRNA from 1 species
UACGGAGAGUGCAAACGUUGUUCGGAUUCACUGGGCGUAAAGGGCACGUAGGCGGCUUGGCAAAUCGGUCGUGGAAUCCCGACGCUUACCGUCGGAACGGCGGCCGAAAAUACCGAGCUCGAGGGCGUGAGGGGUCACUGGAACUCCUGGUGAAGCGGUGGAAUGCGUAGAGAUCCGGAGGAACACCGGUGGCGAAGGCGGCUUCCUGGACCGACACUGACGCUGAGGCGCGAAAGCUAGGGGAGCAAACGGG